rnacentral:rRNA from 1 species
UACAGAGGGUGCGAGCGUUGUCCGGAAUCACUGGGCGUAAAGGGCGCGUAGGCGGCCUGAUAAGUAGGGGGUGAAAUCUUGCGGCUCAACCGCAAGGCUGCCUUCUAAACUGUCAGGCUGGAGCACGGUAGAGGCAGAUGGAAUUCCGGGUGUAGCGGUGGAAUGCGUAGAGAUCCGGAAGAACACCGGUGGCGAAGGCGGUCUGCUGGGCAGUAGCUGACACUGAGGCGCGACAGCGUGGGGAGCAAACGGG